rnacentral:rRNA from 1 species
AUGAACGCUGGCGGCGUGCCUAAUACAUGCAAGUCGAGCGAACAGACGAGGAGCUUGCUCCUCUGACGUUAGCGGCGGACGGGUGAGUAACACGUGGAUAACCUACCUAUAAGACUGGGAUAACUUCGGGAAACCGGAGCUAAUACCGGAUAAUAUAUUGAACCGCAUGGUUCAAUAGUGAAAGACGGUUUUGCUGUCACUUAUAGAUGGAUCCGCGCCGCAUUAGCUAGUUGGUAAGGUAACGGCUUACCAAGGCAACGAUGCGUAGCCGACCUGAGAGGGUGAUCGGCCACACUGGAACUGAGACACGUUCCAGACUCCUACGGGAGGCAGCAGUAGGGAAUCUCCGCAAUGGGCGAAAGCUUGACGGAGCAACGCCGCGUGAGUGAUGAAGGUCUUCGGAUCGUAAAACUCUGUUAUUAGGGAAGAACAAAUGUGUAAGUAACUAUGCACGUCUUGACGGUACCUAAUCAGAAAGCCACGGCUAACUACGUG